rnacentral:rRNA from 1 species
UACAGAGGUCUCAAGCGUUGUUCGGAUUCAUUGGGCGUAAAGGGUGCGUAGGCGGCGCGGUAAGUCGGGUGUGAAAUCUCGGAGCUUAACUCCGAAACUGCAUUCGAUACUGCCGUGCUUGAGGACUGGAGAGGAGACUGGAAUUUACGGUGUAGCGGUGAAAUGCGUAGAUAUCGGAAGGAACGCCGGUGGCGAAAGCGGCGCACUGGAUCUCUUCUGACGCUGAGGCGCGAAAGCCAGGGGAGCAAACGGG